rnacentral:lncRNA from 10 species
AAAAAUGGGGAGAUGUUGGUCAAAGGAUACAAUGUUUCAAAAAAUAAUAAAUAAAAAUUUAUAUUUUUAUAAAUAAAAAUAAUAUAUUAAAAUAAAUAUAAUAAUAUAUUAAAAUAUAUUAAAAAUAAAUAAAAAUAUAUAUUUUUUAAUAAUGGUAGUACUUUCUCAAUUGAUUAUUUUGAAAACCUUUAGGAUUGCUUUUACUGGAAGGAGGAGAAAUGGUACCUACAAGAUCCCCCAGACAAUCUGUCAGUCCAUGGAUGCAUAGCAACAUCGUGUAGUGAGCAAGUAUGAUGAAACGGAACUGCGGGGUCUGCCAUGCCCUGCUCUGUCUGUAUCAAUGCUGGGUGAGUUAAGAAAAUUCAGCAGCUAAUGAAAGCAGCAAAAUUAUCAUUUAUCAUCUGGAAAAUCCACAAAGUGCCUGGAAAUUCUUGACAUUUUCUGGAAUGCUUCCUGCCAAUGCAAACACAUGUAAUUUUUAAUAAACGUGUUCAACACCAUCCCAAUGUGUUUUACUAGAUUAAAAGCACUUCAAAAUUUUCCACAUUUUCCUCUAAUCCAAAACGCACUCCUGGGGGCUGGCAGGGGUCAAGUGGGAAGCAGUCUGCUGAAACAACACUAAAUGAAUGUCAAUAAAUACUCAUUAUUCCAAGAGGAAAAAAAAUGUUUUAUCUAUCUUGGAAAAUAUUUUUUAAAACUUAAAUGAGCCUGAGACACAAAAUCAGCUUAAAAAUCUAUAUCUCUAGGGAAGAGGAACUAAAGGGGAAAAAAACCUAUUCCUUAUCAAAAUGAUGAGAAUAAGAGUAUUGCAUGGCAUGAACAAAGUACUGAAAGAGAUUUCCGUUUGACCCGGUCACGGCCCAUCUUGUAGAUUUGCUGCAAGAUUUCUGGGCUGCUCCAGGCUCCGCAUUAAAGAGCCCUUGGCUGGGAGGAAGCCCUGUUCUUCUUCAACGCCCUCAGUCCGAAUUCCAGUGUCACACAGCAGUUCCAUCAUAUUAACUUCAGAAAUCUCAGGUUAAGAAAAAGUAUUGCAGUUAUCUGUGAAACUGUAUGAAAAUAACUCAAAGAGGGGAUAAAACAGGGAAAUCAGCUAUUCAAAGAAUACAACAGGCUUGGUCACAUUUUAUGACAGAUACUUAAAAUAUGUAUCAUAAACAAUUAGACCCUUUGGCUUUUCCUGAAAUCCCAUUCCUCACCCCUUAACUUGCCAAAUUGAGUCCACGGUAGUAUAAAUUGACAGUUCAUGUUCUUGAGGUUAUAGACUUUAUGCCUGACUCCACUGUAAAUAUUUGAUAAGAUAUAUUUUGGCAUUUAUUAGAAAUCAAAAGUACAAUUCUGAGAGCUUUAAUAAGGACCUAUGACAAUUAUUUAUUUUUAAAGAACCAGGAAAUGUAGAAAAUUAGUUGCCUGUCCAUAGGGAUCUUAUAAUUUCUUAGUAGUCAAAUAUCAAAGGUUUUACAAACAAAUUUAAAAAUCAUCCACUUUAAGUGGAGCGAAGCUUUUAUCUGACGAGAUGGUUGGUUGUUGUCUUAACCAUCUGCCACUGCAUGUGAUGGGGCUUUAUGUUCAUGCUCAGGAGUGUGGGCAAGUGCUCAGAGCUCAUCUCACAGGUGACCUGAGAUUCUUGAGCCCCUCGGUGCUGGAAACCGGGUCUCCUCCACGGGCUCCUGCACCUUGCUGGAGAACACAGGAGGAAAGGAGCGAGAGGGGAGGAGGCAGCUGAGAGUGUGGGCCUGGGAGGGAAAGACACGAAGACCGUGCUGUUGAGUAAAUUUCAGCGAUGCUCCUUCUACUGGAGAACACUUGCAUUUCUUUUAGAGGCUUCCUGGAGUGUGUGAGUGUGUGUGUGUGUGUGUGUGCGCGUGCUGACACAGCAUCCUAGUGAAAUGAGCCUUAGGGAAGGAACAUGGCGCCCAGGUCUUAGUUGCACUGUCUUCAUUUGUUGACUGUUUUCUGGAUGCCAAGUUCUCUGGUAUUCCCCUGUGAGUCAAUAGACCAGCAAAUAGAAGAGCCUUGUCUUUCUUACUCCAAUAUCUGUGAUCUUAAAAACCACUACUACAGGGCAGAGAAUUUCUCCAAGCAAAAUCCAAUUUGGGACUAAAAUCGUGGAAUGGGUUCUUAGGGGUGUCCGUCGCUCCCCCACUGGAAUUACUGAUCCCCACAGCCUCUUCCAAUUGCUGCAUCGUAACUGCUACACGUUGGCCAAGCAGAAGCUUGCAUUGGGCGGGCUGGCUGGCAUUUGUGGAGGCCACCAACUGACUGGAAGAGCCUGGACAUGGCUCUGAGGUCUCAUCACUCCUCCAUCGGGUCCUGCACACACCAGAAGAUGCCAUUCGCUGGAAGGGGAUCUCGAAUGAUGGGAAGGACGGGGAUAAGUGACCAGCACCGAUGCUUCUGUACUGCUUGGUUUAAUCAUCAAUGUCAACCCCACCUUCAUACCCACGUGCUUUUGUGAGACACUCAGCGAUCC